rfam:Triticum aestivum genome assembly, contig: Triticum_aestivum_CS42_TGACv1_scaffold_320261_4BL
AAGCUACUCCCUCCGUUCGGAAUUACUCAUCCAAGAAAUGAAUGUAUCUAGAUGCAUUUUAGUUGUAGAUACAUCCAUUUUUAUGACAAGUAAUUCUGAACGGAGGGAGUAUAAU